rnacentral:rRNA from 1 species
AUACGUAAUGUGAAUUGCAGAAUUCAGUGAAUCAUCGAGUCUUUGAACGCACAUUGCGCCCCCUGGUAUUCCGGGGGGCAUGCCUGUUCGAGCGUCAUUUCACCACUCAAGCCUCGCUUGGUAUUGGGCAACGCGGUCCGCCGCGUGCCUCAAAUCGACCGGCUGGGUCUUCUGUCCCCUAAGCGUUGUGGAGACUAUUCGCUAAAGGGUGCUCGGGAGGCUACGCCGUAAAACAAACCCAUUUCUAAGGUUGACCUCGGAUCAGGUAGGGAUACCCGCUGAACUUAAGCAUAUCAAUAAGCGGAGGAAA